GCCAUUAGUGCCAAAAUUCGCCACUUUUCUAACGCGUUUGAUUAAGAAAUGGCGUAAAAAACGCCGUUUAAUUUUUCAAAACGCCGAGAAAAACGGCGUUCUGUUUCGACAAACGCCGUUUUUUCCGACUCUCACAUGGCGCCCUGAACGCACCAUCCGAGUGACGUAAAAAGCGGCGUUCAAAGACAGACGGAAACGCCGUUUUUUCCGCCACUCGGCAGAAAACGCCGUUCAAAGAUGCAUAAAAACGGCGUUUUUUACGGCGUUCUGUGCCAGCUGUAACGGCGUUUAAAACGGCGUUUUAUUGAAAUUAUGCAGGGCACUCCCCAUGGUUCCCUCAUCCAAUUACUUUCAACUCAUUUCACCCAAUCAAAGAAGACGAAGUGCAGACCACACUAAUGCAUCACCGAUUCACCUUGCUGCUGAGUGAUUGCCUAUUCGGUACCAGUGCUUGUCACAGUAUUGACUUGUAUUAUAAUCCCACUAUGCAUUUUGAUGUGUUUAAGGCAUGAUCAAGCAAACAAACGACAGAAUACUUUUUCUGAAACCUUAACUGUGGUACCUGUUAUGGCAGCUAACAGACACUCGGCGCAUGGCUCCUUUGUUUACGUUAGGGAUCAGCUGUUAGCGCUGUGCCCUGCAGCUGCGCUACCGGCAGACCGUAGCGUCCCCAGUGAGGGAAGAGACGGGGGUGAUGUCUCCCGAGAAGGACACCUUACACACCAUCUCUCCUUCCUGUAAUCACUGUAAACGUGAGAUCGCUCCCUGAUAUGAUUGAGGAGCUAAUGACGCUAACCCGGUCACAGUGGCAGUACCCCGACACUGCCCGGUACUCCUCUGUGAGUAGGCUGCCCGGCUUCCAGCUGCUGCGGCCGGACAAGACGAGAGACAGCGGUGAGAGGAAAGGAGGGGGACUGGGCAGUGUUUGUUAAAGACGGUUGUGGUAUCCCUGGGCACAUUGCUGUGAAAGAACAACUCUGCAACAGAGACAUUGAGCUAUUAGCCGUUAGCAUCCGUGGAGGCAGCCUGUGACUCUCUGUGGUCCGCAGACGCAAUCUCCGAGAGCUCUUCUUCUAAUAUCAGGGGACUUUAAUCAUGUCUCGCUGGACUCCACACUGACCACCUUCACCCAGUAUGUGACCUGCCCCACCGUAGGCAAUAAAACAUUGUACUUAAUGUAUGCCAAUGAAAAAGUGGCAUACAGUUCAUCACCUCCCCCUGCCCAGGGAAGAUCUGAUCGUAAUUAGUGCGCCUUGUCCCUGUGUGCAGCACUUAGUGUGCACGGAGCCACCAAUCACCCACGCAGUGCCGAGAUGGUCCGCGGAAGGCAUAUGAAUAAAUAAUAAAAGCAAAUAAAUGACAGAAUGCUUUUUCUGAAACAAACGGAGACCUUAACUUUUAUCAAAAUACCGUUUUACUCAGUUUAAAGUAAUACCACUGUAUAAUAGCCUUCAAAUUUAAUAAUGUUAACAGUAUCUCAGGAAUAUUUUUGCCCCAUCAACAUGCAUUAAAAUUAGAUAUGCAGUUUUGAAUCAGACCUGUAUGUACGUUUUCUGAAAAGUGAUGUAAAUAAAUAAUCUCAAAAACAUGAAA